rnacentral:rRNA from 1 species
UUGCGGUUAAAAAGCUCGUAGUUGGAUUUCUGUCGAGGGCAGCCGGUCCGCACUAUGUGCGUGCAUCUGGUUCGCUCUUGGCAUCCUCUUGGGGAACAUUCCUGUGCUUGAUUGCAUGGGGUGGAAUUCAAGACUUUUACUUUGAGGAAAUUAGAGUGUUCACGGCAAGCUAUCGCUUUGAAUACAUUAGCAUGGAAUAAUAAUAUAGGGCGUAAGUUCUAUUUUGUUGGUUUCUAGGACAUACGCAAUGAUUAAUAGGGACAAUUGGGGGCAUUCGUAUUAACGCGUCAGAGGUGGAAUUCUUAGAAUUGCGUUACGACGAACUACUGCGAAAGCAUUUGCCAAGGAUGUUUCCAUUGAUCAAGAACGAAAGUAUGGGGAUCGAAGACGAUUAGAUACCGUCGUAGUCUAUACCAUAAACUAUGCCAAUUAGAGAUUGGAGGUCGUUCUUUUUAUGACUCCUUCAGCACCUUAUGAGAAAUCAAAAUUUUUGGGUUCCGGGGGGAGUAUGGUCGCAAGGCUGAAACUUAAAGGAAUUGACGGAAGGGGCACCACCAGG